rnacentral:rRNA from 1 species
GAUGAACGCUGGCGGCGUGCCUAAUACAUGCAAGUCGAGCGAACAGAUGAGGAGCUUGCUCCUCUGACGUUAGCGGCGGACGGGUGAGUAACACGUGGAUAACCUACCUAUAAGACUGGGAUAACUUCGGGAAACCGGAGCUAAUACCGGAUAAUAUAUUGAACCGCAUGGUUCAAUAGUGAAAGACGGUUUUGCUGUCACUUAUAGAUGGAUCCGCGCCGCAUUAGCUAGUUGGUAAGGUAACGGCUUACCGAGGCGACGAUGCGUAGCCGACCUGAGAGGGUGAUCGGCCACACUGGAACUGAGACACGGUCCAGACUCCUACGGGAGGCAGCAGUAGGGAAUCUUCCGCAAUGGGCGAAAGCCUGACGGAGCAACGCCGCGUGAGUGAUGAAGGUCUUCGGAUCGUAAAACUCUGUUAUUAGGGAAGAACAAAUGUGUAAGUAACUAUGCACGUCUUGACGGUACCUAAUCAGAAAGCCACGGCUAACUACGUG